GGAGCAAUAGGGAAGGAUUCUAAUCCAGCUUAGGGAAAGAAACCUGCCACAGGAGUCUUGGAGAGUGGCGACCAUCCUAAUGACUUA
rnacentral:pre_miRNA from 1 species